GUCUGGGGGGGGGGGGCUUGACAGAGCUCUCCCACCCCAGCCCGGCCCCUGUCCCAGCCUCGCCUUGGUCUGGGAACUGCUCAGCCAGUGUGACCAGACAGACCCCACCUGGACGCCAGGCCCUGCCCAUGUCUGAGCCACCGUCUUGUUUCUGUCUCAGUCCCAGACUCAGCAGCAACCUCGGGCCCAGGCACUGCCUCCCAGGCAAAGCCACCCUCAUCUGGAAAGGAAGGAACCUUCUCCUUGCCCAUCCUGCGCUGAGACGGAGGGACUGUACCGAGCAAUCCAGGAACAAAGAAACUGCUCACCAGAAAGUGGUUGAUGAUCACACACUCCUGGGACAGAAAUCCACAGAGGGCUUUCAGGCUUGGGAAGCCCAAAGGUGGGGCUCCCUCAGCCGACUGGUGGCCCUGAAUCCUGAUAGACCAAUCCUAUAA
rnacentral:lncRNA from 1 species